AUUGGAGUGCAUUUUGGUAUCUAUAUGAAGUUGCGAAAGGAGUUUGUGGAGAUUGAGCAAAAAUUGUCAACGGAAAAAACUGAAAACAGAUCAGAGGAUUUGACUGAUCAUUGCAGUCACAUGGUCAAACAAGCCGUGGUUCUAACAAAAGUAGGCCUCUAGUACAAACAAAUGCUUGAAACAAGGCGCUCUGAGCUCCAAAAGGCUGAAGCCAAGGUUGUCAUUUUGGGCGACAAAGUUAAUACGCAUGUGAGCCUUCUCGAAAAGAUAUAUGUAACUCUUGAUCACUACUCUCCUACAUUGCAAAAAUACACAGGGUUGCUGGAUGCUUUCUUGAAGACAUGCAAGCUUGUUGCAGGUUUGAGAAGUCGACAUGAUGAAGACGAAAUAGCAUAGAUGAGUGCA